GAAACUCUAAAUUUAUAACCUGAUUUUUGUGGACCUGUGGGCUCAAAUGAGAGAGGUCUAAGUCCAAGAUUUUUUCUUUUAUUUAUUUAUUUAUUUUUUUCGUUUUCCAUUUUUUUUUCAAAACACGUGGGCUUCACCUAGUGAGCAUGACAACUCAUGAACAAACCUUUGCUCCUUCAAGAUUACCGUUUUGACUGACGAAUAGACCCCUGUUGGAAGUAACUCAAGUCUUUCCCUUGUGUUGACUAAUCAUCUAAAUAGAGCCCACAAAGUGUCCUGGAUGAUGUUCAAGUUUCUU
rnacentral:lncRNA from 1 species